UUGGUUAAGUUAGAAAGGGCGCACGGUGGAUGCCUUGGCACUAGGAGCCGAAGAAGGACGGGACUAACACCGAUAUGCUUUGGGGAGCUGUACGUAAGCGUCGAUCCAGAGAUUUCCGAAUGGGGGAACCCACUAUCUUUAGUCGGAUAGUAUCCUUACGUGAAUACAUAGCGUGAGGAAGGCAGACCCAGGGAACUGAAACAUCUAAGUACCUGGAGGAAGAGAAAGAAAAAUCGAUUUCCUGAGUAGCGGCGAGCGAAACGGAAAGAGCCCAAACCAAGAAGCUUGCUUCUUGGGGUUGUAGGACACUCUAUACGGAGUUACAAAAGAAAGUUAUAAAUGAAGCGGUCUGGAAAGGCCCGCCAAAGACGGUAACAGCCCGGUAGUUGAAAUGGCUUUCCCUCCAGAGUGGAUCCUGAGUACGGCGGAACACGUGAAAUUCCGUCGGAAUCCGGGAGGACCAUCUCCCAAGGCUAAAUACUCCCUAGUGACCGAUAGUGAACCAGUACCGUGAGGGAAAGGUGAAAAGCACCCCGGAAGGGGAGUGAAACAGUUCCUGAAACCGUGUGCCUACAAGUAGUUAGAGCCCGUUAAUGGGUGAUAGCGUGCCUUUUGUAGAAUGAACCGGCGAGUUACGAUUUGUUGCAAGGUUAAGCGGAAAAAGCGGAGCCGUAGCGAAAGCGAGUCUGAAUAGGGCGCAUAAGUAACAGGUCGUAGACCCGAAACCAGGUGAUCUACCCAUGUCCAGGAUGAAGGUAAGGUAAUACUUACUGGAGGUCCGAACCCACGCACGUUGAAAAGUGCGGGGAUGAGGUGUGGGUAGCGGAGAAAUUCCAAUCGAACUUGGAGAUAGCUGGUUCUCUCCGAAAUAGCUUUAGGGCUAGCCUCGAGGUAAAGAGUCAUGGAGGUAGAGCACUGUUUGGACUAGGGGCCCUUCUCGGGUUACCGAAUUCAGAUAAACUCCGAAUGCCAUGUACUUAUACUCGGGAGUCAGACUGCGAGUGAUAAGAUCCGUAGUCGAAAGGGAAACAGCCCAGACCACCAGUUAAGGUCCCCAAAUAUAUGUUAAGUGGAAAAGGAUGUGGGGUUGCUUAGACAACCAGGAUGUUGGCUUAGAAGCAGCCACCAUUGAAAGAGUGCGUAAUAGCUCACUGGUCGAGUGACCCCGCGCCGAAAAUGUACCGGGGCUAAACAUAUUACCGAAACUGUGGAUGAACCUCUUUAGAGGUUCGUGGUAGGAGAGCGUUCUAAGGGCGGUGAAGUCAGACCGGAAGGACUGGUGGAGCGCUUAGAAGUGAGAAUGCCGGUAUGAGUAGCGAAAGAAGGGUGAGAAUCCCUUCCACCGAAUAUCUAAGGUUUCCUGAGGAAGGCUCGUCCGCUCAGGGUUAGUCGGGACCUAAGCCGAGGCCGAUAGGCGUAGGCGAUGGACAACAGGUAGAGAUUCCUGUACCAGUGCUAAUUGUUUAACCGAUGGGGUGACACAGAAGGAUAGGGAAUCGCACGAAUGGAAAUGUGCGUCCAAGCAGUGAGUGUGAGAAGUAGGCAAAUCCGCUUCUCGCGAAGCAUGAGCUGUGAUGGGGAAGGAAAUUAAGUACGGAAGUUCCUGAUUUCACGCUGUCAAGAAAAGCCUCUAGGAAGAGUAGUACUGCCCGUACCGCAAACCGACACAGGUAGAUGAGGAGAGAAUCCUAAGGUGAGCGAGAGAACUCUCGUUAAGGAACUCGGCAAAAU
rnacentral:rRNA from 1 species